rnacentral:misc_RNA from 1 species
AACGAAGCAAAACAAUCAUUG